ACGCUCGACACCUACGGGAGGCAGCAGUUGGGAAUAUUGGACAAUGGAGGAAACUCUGAUCCAGUGACGCCGCGUGAAGGAAGAAGGUCUUCGGAUUGUAAACUUAUUUUGUCAGGGAAGAAAAAAUGACUGUACCUGAAGAAAAAGCACCGGCUAACUACGUGCCAACAGCCGCGGUAAUCUGAGCGGGCGUGGCGAAGGCG
rnacentral:rRNA from 1 species